rnacentral:snoRNA from 1 species
AUUCCAUGGUGAGGACAAUCUAAUAUGUAUUCUUGAAAACGCUCCCAUGCUUCUGAAAUGGUUUCUGACAUCUGCUGUUGGAAACUGAUAAUAUUUUCUCUUAAAGC